GGUUAUCACCAUUCCAGAUUGAAUAUGCCCGGAUCUCUUCUGAUCUCGGAAGUCAAGCAAUCUCGGGCUUGGUUAGUACUUGGAUGGGUGACCGCUUGGGAAUACCAAGUGUGAUAAGCA
rnacentral:rRNA from 1 species